UCAUGGAUGAUACCAGAACCACCAGAACAGUGUUACCACAAAAACACGUGGUCGUAGUUGGUAUACAAGAACGCAAGUUGUGUUCUAGUGCAGGAUACAAUGCGGUAAAGAAGACUUGGGAAGCUAUUUGUAGUUAAAAACUAUACACUUGUUACACCCAAGAAACUAUAUCACUAGGAUUCUUGUAAGUGAAUUCCUUUGCAUCCCAUAAAAUAUCACAAGUUUCAAGGUUGGAAAAGAUUCUGCAUUCUCUUGCAACAAAGGGCCAAGAAUUGUUCUGGAAAGAGCUGAAGAAAUAUUUCCUGUUGUGAUGGAAGGCAUGAACUAUACACAUUCAAAGAAUAUUUUAGUGGGUCCAUAUGGUGAGAUAUAUCCAGCAUGUUAUGAUGCAAAUCAGGCCAUGAAUAUUAAGGCUGAAGAAGUCUCAGAUACAGAAGAGGAAGUGGAUCCUCUGCCAAUAACAUUUAUGGAAAUAAAGGCUGAACCUGAGAGUACUCUUAAUGAACUUCAAUCUGUAUGUGGUGAGCAGCAGCCUUAUUGCUGUGACAUGUCUAAUAAGUCAUUCAGUCAUCACAGUAGUCCAAAGAAACAUCAAUGCAUACAUAGUGGAGAGCGGCCAUUUUGCUGUGAAGUGUGUGGCAAGAACUGUGUUGAUGAGCAAGCGUUGCAACAAAUCUGGUUAAAACCAUAUCGGAAACAUAAUUUCAGACAUGUCACAUCAGGCGACAUCAGUGUUGAUGAGCCUUCAUUUCUCCCAGUCAUGUUAACACAGUGUUGGAAGCGUGAAUUCGGAGAUUUCGCAUGAGGAAACAUCAGUGUGGAUGAGCCUUUGUUUCUUCCAGUUAUGUUAAUACAAUAUUUGGAACAUGAAUUUGAGAGAUAUCACAUCAGGUAUUAUGCAAUGUGGGCUGGUGUGUGUCAUUCCUUUGGAUCUAGAAGGAACAUCAUGAUGCUGAUGGAUUAUCAGACUGUGGCGAAAUGAUGGUGCAGCAGCGUCUUGUUUGAAAAUGAGCUGUCUCUCCACAUCCACAUGAGGGGCUGAAGUGAUUGGUGGUCUUCCAUGUUCAUUGGACAAAUACAUAGGAAGAUCUUACAGAGUUAAUAGAAACUUAAGGGGGAAGAUGAUUGUUUUUCAGAGGCUUAUAAAGAGAUGAUCCAAGACCUGAGAGGAAACAAUGUGCAGGGAACUGAAAUACAAUGAAACCUCCAUUCAGUGCUCUUUGAAGCGAGAUUAACCUCGGGUAACAUUCGGUUUUGCUGACAUGUCAGUAACUUCAUUGUUAAAUUACAUGCAUACAAGAAUCCACUUCUUGGCAACAAGACCUUGAAUAGGAGAUUCACUGUAUGCAGACCUGCAUCUGUAUGCCACUGUAACCAUCACCAAUCACAGAAACAUGCCUCCCUGUUCACAGUCAUGUAUCACGGGAAGUCUGGAUGAGGAUUUCCAGCACUGGAAGAAGUGCAGCAGUUGUGUAAGAGGUUCAUCUGCCAGCGCUACAGAUGGUGCGAUGGGUAAACUAACACAUCUUUCUCUGCCACAAGAUACCGGUCUUGCAACUAGCCUUAAAAAUGUAUGUCUUAUAAAUAUAGAUUAAUAUCACUUUAGUUAUCAUUGUUAUGAUGCUUGGAGUGUGAGUUGGUCUAAAUGAAUGACAGAUUUCAGCCUAGUGCAAUAUGUCAGUAUUGAGGGCAGAAGUAUAUGCCAUUAACCCUGUGUGGGCCAAGUUUUCGGACAGCUUCAGACAAAAUAAAACUUAAAGGAUGUAUAUGUACACCUGUAACUUAAUCUAGCUAAAUCAUAACAGAAUGUACUCUAACUUAAUGUAAACUUCCUAAUCUAACUUCUAACGGAAACUAACAAAACUAACCUGAGCUAACAUGUUGAGGAACAUAAUGUACGUCCAUAGAACAGAAAGGGUCAAGGUGUGUAUACUUACUGCCAUAAGCUUUAUGAAUUUAGCUUAUUGGUUUAUAUGAGGUUCACUCUGCACUCUACCUCACCAUCCAUAGGAGUCACACAGUGAGCAUUUCUUUUGCUAGAGUCAAGGUCUGUGUAAUGUAAUAGAAGUGGUCCCAUUUUAGGAGAACAGAUUGGAUAUAGACCUGACAUGUUGAAAAAGAUGUAUUGGCACCAAUUAUGUGGUGCUGUGGAUACUGAUAAGGGCAUCUUAUAGUGAUUAUUACUGUGCUGAAGGAGGGGUUGUAUGCUUUGAUGUUACGAUAUGUUAAGUGUAAUGCCAAAACUUGUACUUGAGAUUGUAUUGCUUAUUUUGAUGUAUAUGUGGCUUGCUGGCUGGCUAUCAUUGUUUGAUAGGUCUUGUAAAGUGCUAUGUACUUGUAUGUGGAUUCUAAUUUUGUUAUUGCUGUUUGGAAAAUAUUUCAACAUACCUGUAGACAGAAAUAUGUUUGUCGCCAAAUGACAUAAUGGGAUGUAGAUGUAGAUCACUGGACAGACUAUAUUGCACUCACAU